rnacentral:rRNA from 1 species
ACUGCAGGCUGCAACUCGCCUUCAUGAAGUCGGAAUUGCUAGUAAUGGCAGGUCAGCAUACUGCCGUGAAUACGUUCCCGGGCCUUGUACACACCGCCCGUCACACCAUGAGAGUUGGAGAUACCCGAAGCCUAUGAGCUAACUUUUAGAGGCAGUAGUCGAAGGUAGAAUCAAUGAUUGGGGUGAAGUCGUAACAAGGUAGC